AGGUGUGUGGUGGCACACACCUGUAGUCCCAGUUAUUCAGCAAGCUGAGGCAGGAGGUUCACUCGAGCCCAGAAGUUCUGGGCUAUAGUGCGCUAUGCUAAUCAGGUGUCCACACUAAGUAAGACGCCAAUCUAGUGACCUCAUGUGAGCUGGGGACCACCAGGUUGCCUAAAAAGGGGUAAACUGGCCCAAGUCGGAAACAGAGCAUGUCAAAACUCCCUUGCUGAUCAGUAGCGGGAAUGUGCUUCUGAAUGGCCACUGCACUGCAGCCAGAACAACAUGGUGAGACCCUGUCUCUU
ensembl:misc_RNA Metazoa_SRP Metazoan signal recognition particle RNA